UUCUGUUUGAUCCCGGCAGAGGUUACUGCUAUCGAGAUUCGACUAAGCCAUGCGAGUCGAAUGUUCUUCGUGAACAUGGCGGACUGCUCAGUAACACGUGGACAACCUACCCUUGGGUCCGGCAUAAUCCUGGGAAACUGGGGAUAAUUCCGGAUAGGUCACAGAUGCUGGAAUGCACUGUGGCUCAAAGCUCCGGCGCCCAAGGAUGGGUCUGCGGCCUAUCAGGGUUGUAGUGGGUGUAAUGUACCUACUAGCCUACGACGGGUACGGGUUGUAAGAGCAAGAGCCCGGGGAUGGAUUUUGAGACACGAAUCCAGGCCCUACAGGGUGCAGCAGGCGCGAAAACUUUACAAUGCGGGAAACCGUGAUAAGGGAAUCUCGAGUGCCAGCAUAUAAUGUUGGCUGUCCAGAUGCCUAAAAAGCAUCUGUUAGCAAGGGCCGGGCAAGACCGGUGCCAGCCGCCGCGGUAACACCGGCGGCCCGAGUGGUAACCGCUAUUAUUGGGUCUAAAGGGUCUGUAGCCGGCCAGGUAAGUCCCUUGGGAAAUCUGGCAGCUCAACUGUCAGGCUGCUAGGGGAUACUGUUUGGCUUGGGACCGGGAGAGGUGAGAGGUACCUUGGGGGUAGGGGGAAAUCUUGGACCUCGGGGGACCACCA
rnacentral:rRNA from 1 species